ACGAUUGACGGAGCGAAGCGACGUCAAAGCGUAUACAAAGUCGAGUCGGUUUAAGGAUACGUUCGUUGGGUAGGGGAGCGUUCUGUAAGCCUGUGAAGGUGGCCUGUGAGGGUUGCUGGAGGUAUCAGAAGUGCGAAUGCUGACAUAAGUAACGAUAAAGCGGGUGAAAAGCCCGCUCGCCGGAAGACCAAGGGUUCCUGUCCAACGUUAAUCGGGGCAGGGUGAGUCGACC
rnacentral:rRNA from 1 species